rnacentral:rRNA from 1 species
UACGUAGGUGGCGAGCGUUGUCCGGAUUUACUGGGCGUAAAGGGAGCGUAGGCGGACUUUUAAGUGAGAUGUGAAAUACUCGGGCUCAACUUGAGUGCUGCAUUUCAAACUGGAAGUCUAGAGUGCAGGAGAGGAGAAUGGAAUUCCUAGUGUAGCGGUGAAAUGCGUAGAGAUUAGGAAGAACACCAGUGGCGAAGGCGAUUCUCCGGACUGUAACUGACGCUGAGGCUCGGAAGCGUGGGGAGCAAACAGG